UCGAGAAUCUUUUGCAAUGGGCGAAAGCCUGACAAAGCGACGCCGUGUGAAUGAAGAAGGCCUUCGGGUUGUAAAGUUCUUUUGUCAGUGAGCAAGAGAGGGUGGUGAACAACCAUCUAAUUUGAGAGUAACUGAAGAAUAAGCACCGGCAAACUCCGUGCCAGCAGCCGCGGUAAUACGGAGGGUGCAAGCAUUAAUCGGAAUUAUUGGGCGUAAAGGGCGCGUAGGUGGACGAGAAAGUCGUUUGUGAAAUUCCGGAGCUUAACUCCGGAGCUGCAAGCGAAACUUUUCAUCUAGAGGGUAGUCGGAGGAAACGGAAUUCCACGUGUAGCGGUGAAAUGCGUAGAUAUGUGGAAGAACACCGGUGGCGAAAGCGGUUUCCUAGAUUACACCUGACACU
rnacentral:rRNA from 1 species